rnacentral:rRNA from 1 species
UGGGGAAUUUUGGACAAUGGGCGAAAGCCUGAUCCAGCAAUGCCGCGUGUGUGAAGAAGGCCUUCGGGUUGUAAAGCACUUUUGUCCGGAAAGAAAUCCUUGGCUCUAAUACAGUCGGGGGAUGACGGUACCGGAAGAAUAAGCACCGGCUAACUACGUGCCAGCAGCCGCGGUAAUACGUAGGGUGCAAGCGUUAAUCGGAAUUACUGGGCGUAAAGCGUGCGCAGGCGGUUUGCUAAGACCGAUGUGAAUCCCGGGCUCAACCUGGGAACUGCAUUGGUGACUGGCAGGCUAGAGUAUGGCAGAGGGGGGUAGAAUUCCACGUGUAGCAGUGAAAUGCGUAGAGAUGUGGAGGAAUACCGAUGGCGAAGGCAGCCCCCUGGGCCAAUACUGACGCUCAUGCACGAAAGCGUGGGGGAGCAAACAGGAUUCAGAUACCCUGGUAGUCCACGCCCUAAACGAUGUCAACUAGUUGUUGGGGAUUCAUUUCCUUAGUAACGUAGCUAACGCGUGAAGUUGACCGCC